rnacentral:lncRNA from 1 species
UCUCUCCCCUCUUAUUUGGUUAUUUGACUUGUACAAUAUCGAUGCCCACUUCCGACCAAAUCGCUUCCAUAGGCCUCUUCUCUUGUUCAAGCUCCAAGCCAGCCGCCUCCUUGUCCAGACCCUCGUCUUGAGCUCUUGAAUCUCAGCAUGGAAUCGAUGGUGAAGCACUCUCGAGUCCGAGAGAGACGGCAAGAAGGUUGCGUUGAUGGGUCUUCCUUCGUCUUCAACGAUGGAAAAGCCAUUGUUACGGAAAUUGGGUAA